rnacentral:misc_RNA from 1 species
AAUUCUCAACUUCAAAAAUUUGUUCAUUCAGUUUUUGAAGCUUGGACUGUGGAGGUCUUUGCCGGCGUCAUUGUCAGCUCCUCUUAAAUGCAUUAGCGGAACUCUUAUGUGGACCAGCUUUGGUUUGAUAAUCCUAUCUAUGCCGUCGCUGUGUAUACUUUUUAAGUUCAGCUUCUAAUAGUCUUCGGACUGUCUCGUUUUAUGAGGCAUACACUUUUAAGC